AUAACGGGCAGCGCGCACUCCGGGGCGGCUUCUCCUGAGCGCCGGCUAGGUCCAACGCGCGCGGGGAGCCCGGAGCACCCCGCAAGCUGAGUGCAGGACGCGCCCCCAGCACAGCCACCCCCCGGCCGCUGAAUGAGGCUUCCCGGCGUCCGCUCGCGGCCCGCAGCGCCGCGCCCGAGGUCCGCCCGCUGAGGCGCGGCCGGUGCGCCGGCAGCCAGUGCGCUCACCUGCCAGCCUGCGCGCCAUGGGGCAGCCAGGGAACCGCAGCGUCUUCUUGCUGGCGCCCAACGGAAGCCACGCGCCGGACCAAGAUGGCACGCAGGAACGGGACGAGGCGUGGGUGGUGGGCAUGGGCAUCGUCAUGUCGCUCAUCGUCCUGGCCAUCGUGUUUGGAAACGUGCUGGUCAUCACAGCCAUCGCCAGGUUCGAGCGUCUGCAGACGGUCACCAACUACUUCAUCACCUCCCUGGCCUGUGCUGACCUGGUCAUGGGCCUGGCGGUGGUGCCCUUUGGGGCCAGCCACAUCCUCAUGAAAAUGUGGACCUUUGGCAACUUCUGGUGUGAGUUUUGGACAUCCAUUGACGUGCUGUGCGUCACGGCCAGCAUCGAGACCCUGUGCGUGAUCGCAGUGGAUCGCUACUUUGCUAUCACAUCACCCUUCAAGUACCAGAGCCUGCUGACCAAGAAUAAGGCCCGGGUGGUCAUUUUGAUGGUGUGGAUCGUGUCAGGCCUUACCUCCUUCUUGCCCAUCCAGAUGCACUGGUACCGGGCUACCCACCAGGAAGCCAUCAACUGCUAUGCCAAGGAGACCUGCUGUGACUUCUUCACGAACCAAGCUUAUGCCAUUGCCUCCUCCAUUGUGUCCUUCUACUUACCCCUGGUGGUCAUGGUCUUCGUCUACUCCAGGGUCUUCCAGGUGGCCCAAAGGCAGCUCCAGAAGAUUGACAAAUCGGAGGGCCGUUUCCAUGCCCAAAACCUCAGCCAAGUGGAGCAGGAUGGGCGGAGCGGGCAUGGACAUCGCAGGGCCUCCAAGUUCUGCCUGAAGGAACACAAAGCCCUCAAAACUCUGGGCAUCAUCAUGGGCACUUUCACCCUGUGCUGGCUGCCCUUCUUCAUCGUCAACAUAGUGCACGUGAUCCAGGAUAACCUCAUCCCUAAGGAAGUUUACAUCCUCCUAAACUGGGUGGGCUAUGUCAACUCUGCUUUCAAUCCCCUUAUCUAUUGCCGGAGCCCAGACUUCAGGAUCGCCUUCCAGGAGCUUCUGUGCCUGCGCAGGUCUUCUCUGAAGGCCUAUGGGAAUGGCUACUCCAACAACAGCAACAGCAGAAGCGACUAUGCUGGGGAGCACAGUGGAUGUCACCUGGGGCAGGAGAAAGACAGCGAACUGCUGUGUGAGGACCCCCCAGGCACGGAAGACCUUGUGAACCGUCAAGGAAUUUCAGAAACUGGGCAAACCCAUCUAUGAUGAUAGAAGACACAAGAGCGGCUGACGUUGGGACCAGCUCUCAUCUUAAAAACUACUUGGAAGCCGAGAGGUCAUCCCAUCAAACCUCCCACCCAAAACAGGCGUUCCCGUUGCAACCCUCUGGUGAGUGUUUGCUCAGCCUGGCCCGAGCCCUCCCAGAGAAGCCUGCUCCGCUUACCAGAAAGCCUUUUCUACUGCCGGACACCCCGAGAUAUUAGAAAGCUCUGCUCCUUUUAAUGAGACAAAAUAUGUCUUGUGGUGAUUUCUACCCUACGUCCUGGUGCUGUCUCUGGGGGACCCAAAAGGGACAUGGGACCCCCCUUUCCUAUGAUAGGCCUCAGAAAUUAGGAGACUCACUGAGUCUUUCACCACCAAGCUGAAGAGCCUGGCUCCUGAGAAUGUUCCUCGCCCAUUGCCCCUCAUCGCCUUCCUGUGGGCCUCGUCACACUGGCACGGCCACAGCCUACUCGCCUUGGUGUCCUCUGUGGGACCCAGUCCAGGACCUGCCACACAGGAGUAGGUGCAGUGUGACUGGUUAUUUGAGUUUACCUGAGCAAGGAAACUGCAAGAGGAAAGAAAAUGCAGCAAAAAAAUGCAAGUCUGGGGCCUCGCCAGCAUCGCAUAGACAGCAGCCAGAUCCAUGUCUAGAUCUGGGGCCAUUUUCCAGGUCCUCCCUGGGAGGGGCCAUCUUCCCCACACGCUGUAGUUGGGCUAGGGGGCCGCUGAUCUCUGCCCAAGACCUGAAAGGGGCUUUCUGGGGAUCACCGUUAUGACACCAGUGCCUCGGCCCAGGGCCUGGCCCCCAGAGGAGACCAGAGAAACACCAAAUAGACGAAUGAGCACCAGCAGCUUGUUGUGCUCCUAUCGCAUGCCGAGUUCUUCUGUGCAUGACGCUUACCUCCUUCACGCCUUCCAGAGUUGUGAUUGUAUUAUGAACAUACCCAUUUUACAGACAAGGAAACCACAAAGCCAAGAGGUUAGGAAGCACACCCAGAGUGACUCAACCACUAAGUAGAGAAGCCACAGUUCAAACCCAGAUGUGCCUACAUCGAGAGCCCAUUCUUAACUGCACCAUACCCCCUCCUACGGGCAAAAAGGAAAGAGAACAGGGGGGCGGGUAGAAAGGCUUUCAGAAAAAGAAAGAGCGUGGGAAACAGCUCUGUGAACAGUCAACCUCUCUGUAAGAAGCAGCAACAGGACCGGUGUGAGAGCAGGGCCCCUCUAGACCAAGUCACAUUCAGGUUUUCUAACCUAGAAAUGAGAGCUGGAAAAUUCCAGAUUCUGAUGCCCCUAGUUGGCAUGCAGACGCCGUUUUGGGGUUGAGUUUUCCGAGCUCUGGAGCCCCCUGCAUUCACAGGCGCAUGAAGACCUCCAGGCAUCUCUUCCUCUAACUGCAGUGGGCAAGCACGAGUCUUUGCCCCCCAUCCACGUCUUUUGAGAGAUCUAGCCACAAACAGUGAGGCCAGACCAGCCCCCAAAGUCCACCACGGUGCACCCUGGCCCCCUGAUAUUCCCUCCUCUACCCCAGACAUUCUUCCAGGCCCUGCCAGCUUCCACUGCAUCUCUCAAACACACACACUGUCUGGCUUUUGCCCCCAUCAGGCCACAAGGGUUUUGCAGGCACGUGUCCCUCUUGACACCUGCCCUAAAAAAAAAUUACAGCUGAAACCCCCUCUCCCAGCUCUGCAUACACUGAUGAAUGACACUGGGCCAUGCAGGCCACUUCACACAAAGUAAGGAGCCAGUCUCCAUACCAAGAGACCUGUGUUCCCCAGCCUGUUCCCUUCAACCCAGCUGGAGAGAUCUUCCAGAAGCAGCAAGACCCCAAGCUCAUCCCUUUCUUUAUUCUACUGCUUGCAACUUUCAUGGUGCUCCACCGUGUUUAGAACAUGGACUCAAAUCCCAUGAAGCCCGUCGGAUCUUCUCCCAGCUUCCCCGGCAUCCCCCACUCCUGCAUGGGCCAGUUUUCUGAACCUCAGGAUACGUGCUUGUCCCUCUGCCCAGACAAGCUCUCUCGUGCUCCUUCCGAACCUCUUGCCCUCAAGGCAGGCGUCACUCAACGCCAGGCGAUGCCCCUUCUCUGAGGCCUCAGAAGCCCCUCUACUCCUCACUGCUUACCUUUAAUGAUUUGUUUAAAGUCUAGUCCCCUGAUAGAGUCUAAGCUGCACGAAGCCACAGACCCAUCUACUGUGCUCACCGCUGUCUCCCAGAGCCAGAGUAAUCACGGAGGCAACUCUGGCUGUACGCAGGCCUUCUCGCCCAGCCGCGGGCUCUCCUCGGCAUCCGCCCCGGGCACCUCCCUCGCGAGCACUAGGCCUCCGUUUCACCAGCUGCAAGGAGGCACAUGGCUGAGGUCCCUCCGAGGCCUCUCGCCAUGCUAAUGUCCAGGUGCCACUUGACAACAUGUACUUGUAGCAUCAGGCCGAAGCACGAUCAUUCUAGAACUCCAUGGAGGAAGACCCUGGGAAUGUAACUCCCUCCUGUGCUGUGGGCUGUGUUUACAAAACAAACCCAAGAAAAUCAUCAUAAAUCAUUCCAAGUGGAGCUGCCUGGGUUGAAGCAACAAGACAAAAAUACUUCUGGGCACCGCUCCUCUGGGCCCCCACCCAGCUGAAGAGAAGCAGGGCCAGACGGGCUGUGCCCUCGGAAGCGUCAGUUGCUGGCUUUGUCUCUCCACACCGGACCCCUCUAUGGGGACUUUGCUCCUUCCCUUCAGACUUUUACUCCCUGCCACUAUCUGCAGUGUCUUACUGCCUUGCGAAAGGGAAAUGACCCCAGAAGACCAGGGACUGGGUUCUAGGUCAGCCCUUUCUGAGAUGCGUGUAACCUUCCAUAACUUUUUCUUUCAUUCUGAUCUGUCAAAGCGGGGAUAUAACUUCUGCUCUAAUGACCAUAGAAAAACAAGGAGGAGAAAUAUUUUUACAAUCUUCAAGAGCCACACAAAUGCAGGCUUACUUUUGGCCAUUGUUUCUGGCUGGCUCGCUGACUAAAACGUGGCCACAAAGGCCCGGCAUUUUCUCUCUCACUGAGGAAUGGAAGGCCUGGUCCCCAGGUCAAAGAAUCUCAGGCAUCCGAGUAGCAGGUGGUUCAAUCACCCUGGACUGGCUCCACUUGCCCUAAAGGUAAACCUAAUUCAAGCCUUACACAGUGUCCCUGAGUUGGGGUCAGCGGCCUGAGCUUGACGCCAGAUCCGGUCCCAGGAGCUGUUGCUGGAUGCAAGAACACCUGGGGCCCUGUGACCCUGGGGGCUUUGAAGCCCUCAUGCGGCUGAAGGGUUCAAGCGUGUACCUUUCCAGACAGGCUUUGGUUCAGUUUCUCUCUGCCUCUUAUAGCUUCCCACGCUUCUGUUUGCUCUUCAAGGAAACAGAGUUGAUUGACCUGAAUAUUAAAAGUUAUGGUGCAUGUAAUGCGUUUAGUUUUGUGAACAUGUCACAUGUUAGGCAUUUAAAAAAUAAUAUUAUUGUUAUUGUUGUUGUCAUUUAUAUUCUAGGGCUUGCAGACACACACAUACACACACCCUGGUCUUCUCUGAGUUCCCUGAGUGCUUUUUCCACUUCCUGCCCUGUCUAGCCUUGCCUUGUCCUUCCUGUUUUCCUCUAACAACAUUGCUAGACAAAGAUUUCUAAAUUUACCUUAUAAUUUACCUAAUUUUACUCUGCAUUGCUCAGUAAACACCUUUGGAAACAAAAGUUCUAGACAAACAAGUCUCUGGGUCAACAAGAGGACCAAAUUCAAGCACCAUUAUGGGGCUCCCUAGGCAUCCGGGCAACAUGGCACAGGAAAUCGAGGCCCAGACUACUUGGAGUUGAGAUUUUUAGACCCGGCUUGGCCACAGAUGAGAAUUGUCAUAGGAUUUAAUAUCCCUGACAUCUUAGUCUUCCUACCUAUAAAACUAAACCAUCUAUUUUUUUGUUGGCUUAUAAGCCUUUUCUUCUAGUCAGAUAAAACUCUGUUUCUAUAAGAAAUCUUCAACAGAAUGUCAGUAUAUACAAUAUGUAACAGCUCUGGAUAUAGGAAGGGGACAGACCGCUUUUCUUGCCUUCGCACAGUCUUGCCCCUGCAGCUCAUCCCCAGGGCAGCCAGUAGCUCCCACGGGCACCCGUAAGGCUUCCUAGAGUCCUGCUUACACACCUCUUUGUGCCUCUGCCUUCUCAGCAGUUGAAUGGGGAUAAUAACUACCCCUCCACCACAGGGUUGGUUGUCACAAUUAAAUGAGUUAACCCAGAUAAAGCCCUCAGCAUUGUGCCUGGACUAAAGUACUCAGGAAUUGUUAAAUAGUAAGAUUAUUACUACCGUCACUUGAUGGCUGAGGUGCCUCUUACGCAGAAGCAUUAGAAAUUCGUGAUCGUGCAGAUCUGUCAUACGUGUAUACGUGCCCAUGUAUACAAAUUAUAAAUUACUCCAGCCCUCCAUUAUGCCCCCUCCACUGUCUUUACGGACACAGGAGGAGAUAUGAUAUUAUUUCAGAAGACGGAUAGAUUCUGUUUCUAUGGAAAGCAUGUUCUAUAAAACAAUACUUCAAUAUUUUUUUCACUCCUUGAUUUUUCUGACACACAGAGCUCCCAUUCUGUAUGCCAGGGUUGGUGCUGGGACUAAAAAUAGAAGGGGCAAGUAAAGAAAAAGAGAACUCGCAUUAACAACACAGCCAGUCUAUGUUUAAUGCCUAAUGGCCCCUGCCGUCAUUUGUCCGACAAAUAUUUAUUGUGCAAUUCCUAUGAGCCGGACAGCGUGCUGAGGACAUGGCGACAAUGAAGAGAAGCCAGGCCCCAGUCCUGCAGAGCUGCUCUCUAAGGGGAUCAGUAGGGAUUAUGUGGAAAGGAGGGUUCCCCCGAGCUGAGGGUGUGGGAGGUGGGGUGUGGGAAGAAAGGGCCGCCAGAGUGCAGAGAAUAAGGUAAGACUGACUUCGGCAGGGUUCGAUUCCAGAGCGGAACAAGGGUGUAAGCCUAGGUGAGGUGGGGCUAAAGGGAACAGCAUGUACAAAAUUAUUUAUCCAAGGGAUUUCCAAGAACAUCACUGUUUGCUUCUAUUAAUUUGCUCCUAGGAGGACACACACUGCUUUUUUUGGGAACCAACUUUUUGUGUUCUAACUAAGCUCUUCUGUAAACAGCUGCUGAAGGGACACUUGACAUAAGCAACAUGAUUUUAAAUGAUCCUAGCAUUAAUCUUCUCUUCCUGAGUAAUAGGCCAGAGUCUUGUUUCACAGGACUUUUCAUUCUGGGAAGGUAGCUUGAAAAAUCUUAAUUUCCUAUAGGGACACUGAGCAUGACUUUCGAUACGGUGCCCAGGAAAGCGCUGAGAUAUGGGGAAGACCCAGAUUUGAACCCUAGAUUCUUACUAAUAGAACUUCCUCUCUCUCAACCCGUUUCCUCUUUGGUAAAAUGUGGAGCCUGACGCUCACCACAACACGGGACUAUCAGGUGAGACCACAGAUGGGAAAGUGCCCUGGAGACAUCAAGGCAUAUAGAAGUCAUUUGUAUUUAUUUUAAUAACUUCCUUUCUUUCUUUGUUUUCCUUGCUCCUGAGCGUAAUGAAAUUGGAUCAUUUUUAGGGCUCCCGUUUGUUUUGUUUGAGAAGGAAGGAUCGAUAUCUUGCAAUGGCCUUGCAAUUCUCUUGGGCUCACAUGUCACCAAAGAACCUCCAAUGCAAUCUGUCGCAGAAGCCCAUUCAACAACGCACCUCCUUGGGCUGACCCUAACAGCCUAAGAUCCAAGGUGUCGGGACCAUGCCAUUUGGAUUCAGACAGACCUGGGAUUCAAUACCAUCUUUGCCACUUUCUUCUUGUGACCUUGCACAGAUCGGUGGAUUUCUCUACGCUCAUUUGCCCACGUGCUCAUCCAACAAACACUCAUUGAGCCCCUGUGUCCCAGGCGCUGUUGCUAGGUGUUGGAUGAAGAGCAACGCAAGAGGCAGGCAGCCUUUGCCCUCACACGGCUCUGAGUGGGGGAGCAAGAGAACAAGUGAAAUCACAAAGGAACACUAACAAAAUAACACACUGCGAUGAGCCCUAUAAAAGAGACCCUGAGGAACAGAGCUCAACGAUGCUGGAGGCGGGACUCAAGGACCUGCCGAGUACAAUGGACAUCAUGGCCUAGAGCAGCGUUUCUCAACCUCGGCACCUUGGACCUUUGGGGCCUGAUACCUGGGGUGGGGAUGGGGGGACCAUCCUGCGCAUCGCACAAUGUUGAAUAGCACCCCCCUCCUCUACCCACUGGUUGCCGGAAGCCAACCCCCUCCUGCACCGUGUUGAGCACAAACACCCCCAAGACACUGCAGGGGUGCUCUGGAGAGGCCGGAGGGGCCCAGACCACCCUCAGUGGAGUGGGGGUCGCACAGAUGUGUGUUUGAGUCUCCCGGCGGCCACUGACUUGCCCUGGUGACUCCGAAUCGGUCAUUACACCCUGGGAGCCUCUUUCCUCCCGCGUGAAAUGGGAUGUUACUGGAAGGACUCACAUCCAGCAGCGUUGCCGAAGGGAUAAAGGAGAUAACCGCCAGGCCCUAGUGAGCCCUCAGCAAGCGGCGAUUACUGCUGACACCCUCAUCAUGACAUGGCUGGCCUUCCAACUGGCCUCUGGCGCCCUGGGGACAGAACUAGUGCGGGAUCUUGUCCAGGUCCCCAGCCCACGGCCCAGAAGCCAGGACUCCUUACCAACCUGGCGCACUUCUGCUGCGUAAAUGUGAGCAGUCCCCCCCACCCCCGCCUGCCAGGCAGGACAGAGGAGACCCUCAUGGUCAAGUCAACGGUGGUUUUGAUCCCAGGGAGUCCCAGUUCUCACUGACUUGCUAUCUGCUCAGAAUGAGGCUUUUGUUAGUGACAAGGAGGUGGCUCCUCCCUCCCUGCUCCAUGAAGGCUGUGCUCUUUGGAAAGCUCAUUCCCCCACAGGGAGUGGCCGAUGAAAGAUAAUAUUGCCUUUGGUCUUCCUCUUCUCCCUUAAACAAUUGAAGGGGCCUUUCCUUUUCCCGUUUGGCUGGUUUGAAGCCCCUAAUUUGCUUUUGCGCGUCAGAUCUCGCCUCCGUGCCUGCUUUAUGGCUCAGCCAGCAGACCAAGGCACAUUUGUUUUCAGAUUUCCAUGCCAAUCUGGGGUGAGUGGGUUGGCAUCUAGCUGCCUCUCCUGCUCUUCCGGAGCACUUCAUGGGACGAGUUUGCACCCCGCCCCCGACCUGGAUUUGAGGGAGGACGAGUGUCCAGCUUUCCCCAGCUCCCUAUUCUGCUUUCUCAGGGGAUGUGUGAUCUUGAAUACUGGGUGCAAAUUCCCUGCCUGUCCCCACCUCGGCGUCCCAAAACCGUUUACAGAUCUGUGAGUCUAGGAUUCGUGCAUCCUCACGGAGCCCUGAGCAGUUCCUCCACGGGAUGGUGAAAAGCAAAUCAAGAAGGGCGUCUGCUCUAGCAGUUUCCUCUCCUUUGGGAUCAUAUUAAAUACUGUCCAGAGGCCUCGCUCGUCCCAGCGUCUGGCAGCACGGGCUCAAGGCCCUCCCUGCUUCCAGAUCCCGCAUUGGAGCCAUUUUUGGCAAGAGAAGUAGGGUCUGAUUUUAAAAAUGGCAUUUCCCCAAAAACUCUCGCGUUCAAGGUUCUCUGCUGCUGCCGUGGUGGCUGCAGUAAUGAGGAAGGCCCACCCCUCCGUGAGGGCCGUGCAGUACUCACACAGAAGUGCUCAGUGGAUAUCUGUUGAAUGGCCUUGAUGGGGGUUGAGAGGACAGACAUCUAUUGAACGCCAGUCAUGCGCCUGGAAUCCCCUGAGUGUCUAGGUACAAAAGUGAGUAGGAUACAAUCCAACAGACAAACCUAGUCUUGGUGGAGACAGGACUGUCGGCAGAAAACGUGCUAUCCUUCAGGCAGUGCGAAGAGAAUGCUGGGCGCUCACAGAGGGAUGGUACUCAGCCCAGGCUGGGGGUCCGGAGGCCUUCUGACAAGAGACGAUGGCCACGCUGAGCCAUGAGAAGCGAGACUGAGUUAGCACAAAGGAUAUUUGGGACAAGGACCGGGGGCAUGAAAGGCAUGAGAUCUGUGGGCACUCUGGCAACUGGGCACGACUAGAAUGUGAAGGAAAAGGCAGGAAAUGGCAAAGGACGAGCCAGUGGGCAGAGGGCCGGGAAAUGAAGGGCCUGUGUGGCGGACACACAGAGCAGCGGCCCAGACCCUGCUGCCCAGCCGCCCAGGGCCUGCCUCAGCUGCCCAGCCCCCCCUUAGCCCCCCUCCUCCACCACCAAGGCCUGGCCAUUGGGCCCCACUGUGGGGAGACGCUGAAGGGCGAUGCUCACUCCCGAGCUCCCCACCACCUGCCUGAGAUUUUGACUUCUGCCUCUGCGCAGUCCUGCCUCUGCCCCUUCCCCUCCCCGGGGGUUGAUCCUGUACCCCAAGCUCCAUCCCCGUGUCUGCUUCCGGUGACCCCCACUCGCUCCAGAAGAGGGGAUUUAUCAGACUGGUCAGUGCAGCAGACUCAGGGCUCUGGGCUCACCCUCUCUUUUCUCAGGACGGGCUCCAGCAGACAGGAACCACUGUCUAGUCUGUGCUCGAGGCCACGCAGCCAAUUCUGGGCCUGCUGGGAAGUCUCUGGUGGCCCCGUCCUGCGGGCACAGGGAAAAGCAGCCACAAGCCCAUUCUGCUCCCCAUGCAAGCAGCACCCCACCCAGCUGUAAUCUGUAGUAACACUGGCAUUUUAUCUUCAUCUGGCUGACCCUCAGUUCUGAACGUGGGCAGCGAAGAAGGGUGUUACUUUCCAAGGCCUCUCAAAUACCCCAACACUCACAAUCCAACCCUUUAAAAUGUCCUGAUGUGUCCGUUCCUCAGCAUCCAAGGAAUAUCAGUAACCGCUGUGGGAGAAAUAAAUGGUCAGAUCAAUGCGUGUUGCUCAGUCAAAAAGAUCCCCUCUCUCCAUAGGAGUUAUGGCUGAAUGAUUCAGUGCGGGUUCUACCUGCACGCACGGGGAUGAUGGACAGAAGCCUCGAUUUAAUUUCGGCUUCAGUAUUCAAUAAUGUUGCCUUAGUGGUGAGCCACAGCACACUUCCCCAAGGGAGGAGCCCCUGAACUUAACCUCAGAGUAUUUUGCAUCAGGAAUUCAGCAGAAUAUUUUGAGCCUGAAAACUACAGGACAUUCCAAUAAAAGGUGAAAGGGUCUUUUCCUCUAAAGUAAGAAAAAAAAUCAGAUGAACAUCUUUCUUGCAUCACCUGCUGGAGGUUAAACAAAAUGGUAAGUUCUCCACUUAAGGAGCAGAAGGUUAGAAGUCAUAGACCUUUUCCUGCUCCGCUACCGUCAGGGACUUGCUGAAUGACGUCACUCCAGACAUUUUAACUCUCUUGGUUCAUUUCCGUACCUAUAAAACGGCUGUGAUACCUGACAUGCUCUCCUCACGAGGGGCUUACGAUCAAGUGUGGUGUUUGAUUAUAAAUCGUACUAAGAGAUUUCAUUUAUUGGAUGUUGUGUGCUAAAAACAAUUCCAAGCACCUUUCAUGGAUUUUCACACAAUGAAGUUGUUGCUGUUGUCCCCAUUUAACAGAUGAGGAAACUGAGGUCCAGGCAGCUCAAGUAAUUUUCCCAGGUUCUCACAGUUCGUACAAGCAGAGCUAGACCUUGAACCCAGAUCACGGAACGCAGAUCUAUCUGACGCCAAAUCUGGUGCUUUUAACCACCCUACUGUCUGCUUUUUAUGCUGAAAACAGUGUGAGGGAAUAGAAAACUACUGAGUGUCAGAGGCGCCCCUCACCCUGCCUCAGGUGAGGCAUUAACCCUCUCUGGGAAGAUAGAAUAAUGGCCCCCAGAGACAUCUACACCCUAAUUCUUGGAACUUGUGAAUAUGCUCUGAUACUUGACCAAGAGAAAUUCAGGUGGCAGGGGGAAUUAAGGCUGUUAAUAGCUGAGCUUAACAUGGGGAGAGUAUCCUGGAUUAUCCAGCUGGGCCAAAGGUGAUCACAAGGGUCCUUGAGAGUGGCAGGGACAGGCACAGGAGGUCAGGGGCUGUGACGGGAGAAGGGUUCAUCCCACACUGCUGGCUUUGAAGCUGGAAAGGGGCCACGAGCCAAGGAAUGCAGGCAGCCCUUGGAAAGCAAGGCAACCCCGCUGGCAUCUUAAGUUUAGUCCAGGGAGGCCCAUGUUGGACUUCUAACCUACAGAGCUAUGAGGUAAUCAAUUCGUGUCGUUCCAAGCCAGUAAGGCUGCAGCGAUGCAUUACCACAGCAGCAGAAACCAAUGCACCGUGCACCUGCUUGUAGAUGGAAGGCGUUUGGCUUGAAGCUGAUUGCUCGCGCUUUUCAACCUCUGACUUCCUCUGAGUUUGGGCUCUGUGCAGUUCUUUCUAAAGCAUGGGCAAAAGCAUGGGAGUAAGUGACAAGACGUGACUUGCCCCUGGAACUUAAUAGGCAACCAGCCUGGGGCCCGCGUCUCAGCUCGUGCCCACCCUACCCAUUGUCCUCUGCCCCACUCCCCCACCUUCCACCACCAGCAGAGGCCCCCUCCAGGCUUCCCAGGCUGACAGGAGGCUCAGAGAGUCUGGAGCCAACAGUAGAAUAGAACAGCAGCCCUUUGAUCCUCAUACAUUUAGAUCCUGCAAAGCUGCCUUGUUUGUGCUGCCUAAUGGACAUUAGUCCAAAGUGGCUAUUUACUUUCGAAUAUAAGGAGUGGGGGGCGCCUGGGAGGCUCAGUCCUUAAGCGUCUGCCUUUGGCUCAGCUCAUGACCCCAGGAUCCAAGUCCUGCAUCGGGCUCUCUGCUCAGUGGGGAACCUGCUUCUCCCUCUCCCUCUGCCUCUCCACCCCACUCGUGCGUGCACGCUCUCUCAAAUAAAUAAAUAAAAUCUUUUAAAAAAUAGAAUAUAAGGAGUGGGAAGAAACAUGAAGAACUGAGAGUGAGGGCAGGGAUUCUACACUCCCUCCCGUGCCCCUUCUGCAGCUGCUUCACGUUCUGGACGCAUUCCAAAGCUUCUUGAAACAGAGCCCUGCCAAACAACACGUGAGCCCCUUGGUGGUCCCUAUCACAUUUUCAGGAGCCAUAAGAGAUUUAAGUGGGAAGGAGUCAGCCAGGUGCUGGGGCUGCUGCUGAUCAGAGAGAGGUCAUUACCUAGGGCCAAGGUCUCCAUUUGGGGGAGGGGGAGUCUUAAGAUGGACAACUGGAGGACAACUGGGAGGGGGUGGGUGACUGAAGUCUCUGAGCAGAGAGGGGAGGGGACUUGAGGUCCGUGUCCUUCCAGGCUGGGCCUCUGGAUGGAGAGCUUGGCUGGGGGCACCUGCAGGGGCUUGGACAUGUCUGCAGGAAGAGACCUGCGGCCUUUGUCACCAAAUCUGACGAUUCAUAGGAGCACAGGAUGACAGAACUGCAGGCUGUACCACCUUCUCUGUUUUUGCCAGAAGCAAAAGCCCUCCAUACCACUCUUUAUAGUCACUUUCUCUUUAAAUGACUCCAUUUUUCCUUCAAGAAAUUUAUUUUUAAAAGACUUUUUUUUUUUAUCACCAUCUAUGGUAGAAACUGCUAGCGCUCACCCUUUUCAGUCUUCCUCCCUUUCCGGACACAUGGGAAGACGAUAGCCCUGACGCCUCCCGCCCCCUCCGCGCACACCGCCUUCGGCUGAAUGGAGGAGCCUCGUGACCGUCUUAGCCAGCGGAUUAUGGAGGUCCUGGCUUCCAUCAUUGCUGAUCUUCGUCUUCCUCACCCCUCCAGAUGCCAUCUCCUCCCUCCCCAUCAAGGCAAAUUAUAGAAGAUCUUCGGGCCCUCAAUUGUCCUCUGUGAUCCAACAGCCCGGCUGUCGAUUUGGCACGACCUGGAGUGGCCACCAGCAUAGACACACCGGGCGCUUCUAUGCUUGUUUAUGUGGUCUGGGUCCUCAUCACCUCCCUGUCUCUUCCCCAGAGAUCUCUGGCCAUCCCUCAACAGGCAAAGGCUGAAUGGGUCCACAUCUCCAUUGUUAGACCUCUCUGCUCGCAAGCUGCUGAUGAGACAGCCACAUGAGGGUGACCACGGCUCUGAGGACUGCAGUCCUGCUCUGGGCCAGCCUAGCCACCUGCUGCCACGGUCUCAUGAAAGGGAGAGGAUGGAGAGGCCAAUGACUGGAGGGACAGGUCAAGGAGAUAAGAGUUCUGAUGGAAAUAUUGUCAAAAGCCAAGACAUUGGCAUGAUGAAAGCUCCCCCUUUUUUUAGCCCAGAAUGAGGGGGACCAGACCAUUCGCUAACCCCACAGAUGGUUAUCCCCGGCAGGAACGUGGGCAGCAAUAGCAACCUCAAGGGCAUCAGGUCCUCAGCUUCACUCAGGGGACACCGGGCCAGGGCUCACCUGUCCCAGGUGGUUACUGAUGAUGAAUAAAUAAAUGCCUUAACCUGGA